GAUGAAGAACGUAGCGAAAUGCGAUACGUAAUGUGAAUUGCAGAAUUCAGUGAAUCAUCGAAUCUUUGAACGCAUAUUGCGCUCUUUGGUAUUCCGAAGAGCAUGCUUGUUUGAGUAUCAGUAAACACCUCAACCUCUUCUUGAUUUUUCAAAAGGAGGGUGGACUUGAGCUAUCCCAACAACCUUUACCGGUCGGCGGGCGGCUUGAAAUGCAGGUGCAGCUGGACUUUUAUCUGAGCUAAAAGCAUAUCUAUUUAGUCCUCGCCAAACAGGAUUAUUACUUUUGCUGCAGCUAACAUAAAGGAUAAUUGUCCUCUUUGCUGACUGAUGCAGGAUUUUACGACACUUUAUGUGUUGUUCAACUCGAUCUCAAAUCAAGUAAGACUACCCGCUGAACUUAAGCAUAUCAAUAAGCGGAGGA
rnacentral:misc_RNA from 1 species